rnacentral:rRNA from 1 species
AACGGCGGCCGUAACUAUAACGGUCCUAAGGUAGCGAAAUUCCUUGUCGGGUAAGUUCCGACCUGCACGAAUGGCGUAAUGAUGGCCAGGCUGUCUCCACCCGAGACUCAGUGAAAUUGAACUCGCUGUGAAGAUGCAGUGUACCCGCGGCAAGACGGAAAGACCCCGUGAACCUUUACUAUAGCUUGACACUGAACAUUGAGCCUUGAUGUGUAGGAUAGGUGGGAGGCUUUGAAGCGUGGACGCCAGUCUGCGUGGAGCCAACCUUGAAAUACCACCCUUUAAUGUUUGAUGUUCUAACGUUGCCCCAUUAUCUGGGGUGCGGACAGUGUCUGGUGGGUAGUUUGACUGGGGCGGUCUCCUCCCAAAGAGUAACGGAGGAGCACGAAGGUUGGCUAAGCAUGGUCGGACAUCAUGCGGUUAGUGCAAAGGCAUAAGCCAGCUUGACUGCGAGAGUGACGGCUCGAGCAGGUACGAAAGUAGGUCUUAGUGAUCCGGUGGUUCUGAAUGGAAGGGCCAUCGCUCAACGGAUAAAAGGUACUCCGGGGAUAACAGGCUGAUACCGCCCAAGAGUUCAUAUCGACGGCGGUGUUUGGCACCUCGAUGUCGGCUCAUCACAUCCUGGGGCUGAAGUAGGUCCCAAGGGUACGGCUGUUCGCCGUUUAAAGUGGUACGCGAGCUGGGUUUAGAACGUCGUGAGACAGUUCGGUCCCUAUCUGCCGUGGGCGUUGGAAGAUUGAAAGGGGCUGCUCCUAGUACGAGAGGACCGGAGUGGACGCACCACUGGUGUUCGGGUUGUCAUGCCAAUGGCAUUGCCCGGUAGCUAAGUGCGGAAAAGAUAACCGCUGAAAGCAUCUAAGCGGGAAACUUGCCUUGAGAUGAGUCUUCCCUGACUCUUUAAGGGUCCUAAAGGAACGUUUAAGACUAAGACGUUGAUAGGUUGGGUGUGUAAGCGUAGCGAUACGUUGAGCUAACCAAUACUAAUGAACCGUGAGGCUUAACCUGACAACACCGAAGGUGUUUUAG